rnacentral:rRNA from 1 species
GACAGCAGUCGCCGCGGGAAUACGUAGGGUGCGAGCGUUAAUCGGAAUUACUGGGCGUAAAGCGUGCGCAGGCGGUUUUGUAAGACAGGCGUGAAAUCCCCGGGCUCAACCUGGGAAUGGCGCUUGUGACUGCAAAGCUAGAGUGCGGCAGAGGGGGAUGGAAUUCCGCGUGUAGCAGUGAAAUGCGUAGAGAUGUGGAGGAAUACCGAUGGCGAAGGCAGCCCCCUGGGCCAAUACUGACGCUCAUGCACGAAAGCGUGGGGAGCAAACAGGAUUAGAUACCCGCGUAGUCCCUGUCUCUUAUAA